UGAGGAAUAUUGGUCAAUGGGCGAGAGCCUGAACCAGCCAAGUAGCGUGCAGGAUGACGGCCCUAUGGGUUGUAAACUGCUUUUAUGUGGGGAUAAAGUGCGUGACGUGUCAUGCAUUGCAGGUACCACAUGAAUAAGGACCGGCUAAUUCCGUGCCAGCAGCCGCGGUAAUACGGAAGGUCCGGGCGUUAUCCGGAUUUAUUGGGUUUAAAGGGAGCGUAGGCUGUUGGUUAAGCGUGUUGUGAAAUGUAGAUGCUCAACAUCUGACUUGCAGCGCGAACUGGCUGACUUGAGUACACACAACGUAGGCGGAAUUCAUGGUGUAGCGGUGAAAUGCUUAGAUAUCAUGAAGAACUCCGAUUGCGAAGGCAGCUUACGGGAGUGUUACUGACGUUUAAGCUCGAAGGUGCGGGUAUCGAACAGG
rnacentral:rRNA from 1 species